ACCAGCGCCUCCCCAAACCCACCCCGUCACCAACCUCUGUUUACUCCUUAUUCCACUUACCUGACCUCCCACCGAGGAGUAAGCCAUGGCUAACCACCAAACGCGAGCCCUGGCUACACCAGGUCAUGCCUGUCUCAGGUAUUUGGACAACUGGUGUGUGUUUACAAAGAGCUGGUUCCAAUCCUAGCUCUGCCAACUUCUGAGGCUUGACCAAGUGACUCGGGAUCCAGGAUCUCCUCCACCUGUGGACAGCACACACACCACUGCCGCUGUGAGGAGGACCUGCAUCCCUGGACCUUGCCGUGGGGCCACUGGUACUCCCGGUGUAGGACCCUCUACAACCACCCCAGGAAGAGAGGGUUCCCAGGCAAUCGGGCACAUGGUACACUGAAGCGGCUGGCCUCUGUCCUGAGAGAGAGGGAGCGCUGCGAUUCUCAGCACAGGCUCAUGGCAGAACUCCGGGCCCAGCUACGCGGCUUCUGCAGGAAUUAUUCAGACAAAUAAACACCAAGAAACAUGACUU
ensembl:lncRNA novel transcript, antisense to MLLT1